rnacentral:rRNA from 1 species
GAUGAACACUUGUUGCGUGCCUAAUACCUGCAUGGCGAGCGAACAGACCACGAACUUGCUCCUCUGAAGUUAGCGACCGACGGCCGAGUAACAGGCGGAUAACCUACCUAUAAUACUGGUAUAACUGCCGGAAACCGGAGCUCAUACCGGAGAAUAUAGUGAACCGCCCGGUUCAUUAGGGAAAUACUGAUUUGCUGUCACCUAUACAUGGAUCCGAGCCGAAUUAGCUAGUCGGUCAUGAAACCGCUUACCAAUGCUACGAUGCUUAGCCGACCUGAGACGUCUGAUCGGCCACUCUGGAACUGACACACGGACCAGACUCCAACAGGACGUGCCACUACUGAAUCUUCCGCACUGAGGGAAAGACUGACUCAACCCCGACGCGUGAGUGGUGAAGGCCUUCGGAUGGUCUUCCUCUGGCAUCAAAGAAGAACACAUGCGCCACCAACUGUGCACGUCCUGACCGAACCUAUUCAGAUAGACACUGGUAACUACACGCCACCAGCCGCGGGAAUACUGAGGUGGCUAGCGUUCUCCAGAAUUGUUGAGACUCUCGCGCGCGUAGGCCGCUUUUUACGUCUGAUACGAAAGCCGACUGCUCACCCGUGCACGGUCAUUGCAUACUGUCCUACUUGACUGCAGAUGCACAAAGAGCAAUUCCCUGCGUCGCGGUGCCUCGCGCACAGAUAUGGAGGAACACCCCUGGCGAAAGCGACUUUCUGGGCUGUAACUGACACUGAUGUGCGAAAGCGUGUGGAUCACACACGAUUAUAUACCCUGUGAGUCCCCGCCCCAAACAAUGAGUGCUCAAUGUGAGGGGGUUUCCGCCCCUUAUUGCUGCCGCUAACGCAUUAUUCACUCCCCCUGCUGAGUACGACCGCCACGUUGAUACUCCUCGGAAUUGACGGCGACCCCCCCCACCGGCGCGGCAUGUGGUUUAUUUCUUAGCAGCGCCAAGAACCUUACCACAUCUUGACGUCCUCUGACCCCUCUAGAGAUAGAGUUUUCCCCUUCUGGGGACAGAGUGACAGGUGGUGCAUGGUUGUCGUCAGCUCGUGUCGUGAGAUGUUGGGUUAAGUCCCGCAACGAGCGCAACCCUUGUCCUUAGUUGCCAUCAUUAGGUUGGGCACUCUAAAUUGACUGCCGGUGACAAACCGGAGGAAGGUGGGGAUGACGUCAAAUCAUCAUGCCCCUUAUGACUUGGGCUACACACGUGCUACAAUGGACAAUACAAAGGGCAGCGAACCCGCGAGGUCAAGCAAAUCCCAUAAAGUUGUUCUCAGUUCGGAUUGUAGUCUGCCACUCGACUAUAUGAAGCGGGAUCGCUAGUAAUCGUAGAUCCACAUGCUACGGGUGAAACGUUCCCGGGUCU